rnacentral:rRNA from 1 species
GACGAACGCUGGCGGCGUGCUUAACACAUGCAAGUCGAACGGAAAGGCCCUGCUUUUGUGGGGUGCUCGAGUGGCGAACGGGUGAGUAACACGUGAGUAACCUGCCCUUGACUUUGGGAUGACUUCAGGAAACUGGGGCUAUACCGGAUAGGAGCUCCUGCUGCCUGGUGGGGGUUGGAAAGUUUCGGCGGUUGGGGAUGGACUCGCGGCUUAUCAGCUUGUUGGUGGGGUAGUGGCUUACCAAGGCUUUGACGGGUAGCCGGCCUGAGAGGGUGACCGGCCACAUUGGGACUGAGAUACGGCCCAGACUCCUACGGGAGGCAGCAGUGGGGAAUAUUGCACAAUGGGCGGAAGCCUGAUGCAGCAACGCCGCGUGCGGGAUGACGGCCUUCGGGUUGUAAACCGCUUUCGCCUGUGACGAAGCGUGAGUGACGGUAAUGGGUAAAGAAGCACCGGCUAACUACGUG